rnacentral:rRNA from 1 species
AACGAACGCUGGCGGCAGGCCUAAUACAUGCAAGUCGAACGGCAGCACAGCAGAGCUUGCUCUGUGGGUGGCGAGUGGCGGACGGGUGAGGAAUACAUGGGAAUCUGCCCAGUCGUGGGGGAUAACGUAGGGAAACUUACGCUAAUACCGCAUGCGCCCUUCGGGGGAAAGCCGGGGACCUUCGGGCCUGGCGCGAUUGGAUGAGCCCAUGUCGGAUUAGCUAGUUGGCGGGGUAAAGGCCCACCAAGGCGACGAUCCGUAGCUGGUCUGAGAGGAUGAUCAGCCACACUGGAACUGAGACACGGUCCAGACUCCUACGGGAGGCAGCAGUAGGGAAUAUUGGACAAUGGGCGCAAGCCUGAUCCAGCCAUGCCGCGUGAGUGAAGAAGGCCUUCGGGUUGUAAAGCUCUUUUGUCCGGAAAGAAAAGCAUCCAGUUAAUACCUGGGUGUCCUGACGGUACCGGAAGAAUAAGCACCGGCUAACUUCGUGCCAGCCGCCGCAGUAACAC